UUUCUGUGAGAAAGUUUAUUGCCAAUAAAAAUAAGUAUAAGAAAUAACUUAAGAUUUAACACAGAUCGUAAAUACCCAUUAGCAACGAAGUUCAAUAAAACAGCAAGUAUUACUACAUUUUUAUUACUUGGAUUAUACAAUAUUUUACAACAAUAAAAUAAUUCAUAUCA
rnacentral:lncRNA from 1 species